rnacentral:hammerhead_ribozyme from 1 species
AGUAGCUGACGAAUCCCGAAUAGGACGAAACACGCGUCCUGGAU